rnacentral:tRNA from 1 species
GCCGAGGUAGCCUAGCCCGGCCAAGGCGGUUGCCUCGAGAGCAACUGUCCGCAAGGACUCAGGAGUUCAAAUCUCCUCCUCGGCG